UUAUAUUGAAUGAUGUAUCAUCUUAUGUCAAUGAAUAUUCGAAAAUGAGACAAUUCAAUUCAGCUACCAAAGUUAAAAUGUCUAAGUUGCGUCGUUAUGUAUUCUGAAAAUUCAACGUGGAAGACUUGAAAAUUAAGAAAGAUUCACAGUACUUGAAGAUACGACUUGGAUAUUUGUUGUACGGUACAGUACAUUGCACCUGGCUCUGAUACCAAACAUGUUACAGGGAAAGGCUACUCAACGAAGUCGCACGUACAGUACAAAGAAAAGUUAACGCGUCAAGGAACACUUGAUAAUUAAGAAAGAUGCACAGUAAGAUAGAAGUACUUUGUUGUGCGGUACAUUGCACCUGUUCGAAUACUCAUAAUCGAGCCAACAACGUGCGUGAGUACCUGUUAUACCAACAAUGGACUUGAUAUGCAUCAUAGUCAACAUCUUCAAACUUAAACUGGGUAGAACAUGUACUGUAAUAUGCAAUAACAUGUGUUCUAUUGUCAUAGAUAAGUGACACGUGUUUUAGUUUUCACUAGCUGAAUGUUCGUUAUUUAUAAUUCACGUUGUCAUUGACUAUUUUUGCCAAGCUUUGGAAAUUGUGGAAUGGGUUGUAAUUAAAUCAUUGACUUAUAUUAUUUUAUAUAAUUGACUGUAACCCAUACUGUAGUUUCAAUUUUGUAUAUACAGUAGCCAUCGUCCAAAAU